AAUGUUGAAAGAAGUGUGGAGGAGCCGGAAAGCUUAAAUAUAUAGAACAUAUAGUAAUAAUGUCAUAUUUUUAUUGGCAAAGACUAAACAAAAAUAUGCCAUUGUAUGGUUUCAUACCAAUCUUGGUUUCUACUAUUAUCUCAGAUCGAUAAAUUUGUUAAACAUAUAACAGAUCUGUGUUUUAAGAUAUCGCUAAAAUUAAAUUUCAUAGUUAUUAUAUAUCUCGAAAAAUAGUCAAAUAUGUUGAUAAAAAUGCAUAUAUCAAAGAGUUGAAAGUGAAAUGCAAACAAAUUAGAUUUUAAAUAUUAUGUUAUAAAUUUAGAUCUGAUAUAUAGAUAAACGAAUAUAUAUUGAUUGAGAGACAAAAACACAUGAACUCUCAAUGGGGACCC
rnacentral:sRNA from 1 species